rnacentral:rRNA from 1 species
UACGGGGGGGGCAAGCGUUGUUCGGAAUUACUGGGCGUAAAGGGCUCGUAGGCGGCCAACUAAGUCAGACGUGAAAUCCCUCGGCUUAACCGGGGAACUGCGUCUGAUACUGGAUGGCUUGAGAUUGGGAGAGGGAUGCGGAAUUCCAGGUGUAGCGGUGAAAUGCGUAGAUAUCUGGAGGAACACCGGUGGCGAAGGCAGCCUUCUGGGCCAACACUGACGCUCAUGCACGAAAGCGUGGGGAGCAAACAGG